rnacentral:rRNA from 1 species
GAUGAACGCUAGCGGCAGGCUUAACACAUGCAAGUCGAACGGCAGCACAGGUAGCAAUACUGGGUGGCGAGUGGCGCACGGGUGCGUAACACGUAUGUAACUUGCCCCUGACUGGAGAAUAGCCCGGAGAAAUUCGGAUUAAUGUUCCAUAAUAUAACGAAGUGGCAUCACUUUGUUAUUAAAGUAUUACGGUCAGGGAUAGACAUGCGUUCGAUUAGCUAGUUGGCGGGGUAACGGCCCACCAAGGCUA